AACGAACGCUGGCGGCAUGCCUAACACAUGCAAGUCGAACGAGACCUUCGGGUCUAGUGGCGCACGGGUGCGUAACGCGUGGGAACCUGCCCUUAGGUUCGGAAUAACUCCCCGACAGGGGGGCUAAUACCGGAUAAUGUCUUCGGACCAAAGAUUUAUCGCCUUUGGAUGGGCCCGCGUUGGAUUAGCUAGUUGGUAGGGUAAAAGCCUAUCAAGGCGACGAUCCAUAGCUGGUCUGAGAGGAUGAUCAGCCACACUGGGACUAGGACACGGCCCAGACUCCUACGGGAGGCAGCAGUGGGGAAUAUUGGACAAUGGGCGAAAGCCUGAUCCAGCAAUGCCGCGUGAGUGAUGAAGGCCUUAGGGUUGUAAAGCUCUUUUACCCGGGAUGAUAAUGACAGUACCGGGAGAAUAAGCUCCGGCUAACUCCGUG
rnacentral:rRNA from 1 species